rnacentral:tRNA from 1 species
GCCUGGGUGGCUCAGUCGGUUGGGCGUCUGACUUCGGCUCAGGUUAUGAUCUCGCGAUCCGUGAGUUCGAGCCCCGCGUCGGGCU